UACGGAGGGUGCAAGCGUUAUCCGGAUUCACUGGGGUUAAAGGGUGCGUAGGUGGGCAGGUAAGUCAGUGGUGAAAUCUCCGAGCUUAACUCGGAAACUGCCAUUGAUACUAUCUGUCUUGAAUAUUCUGGAGGUGAGCGGAAUAUGUCAUGUAGCGGUGAAAUGCUUAGAUAUGACAUAGAACACCCAUUGCGAAGGCAGCUCACUACGGGAUUAUUGACACUGAGGCACGAAAGCGUGGGGAUCAAACAGG
rnacentral:rRNA from 1 species